AGAGUUUGAUCCUGGCUCAGGACGAACGCUGGCGGCGUGCCUAAUACAUGCAAGUCGAGCGGACUUGAUGAGGAGCUUGCUCCUCUGAUGGUUAGCGGCGGACGGGUGAGUAACACGUAGGCAACCUGCCUGUAAGACUGGGAUAACUACCGGAAACGGUAGCUAAUACCGGAUAAUUUAUUGUUUUGCAUGAAACGAUA
rnacentral:rRNA from 1 species